rnacentral:misc_RNA from 2 species
UCAACUAUCAAGCCUGGCUUGUUGUUGGACUUUGCGGCAGUAAAAUGUGGCAGGUCUGAAAAAUAAUGACGGCGUCAUGUGUGACCCUAGAUGCAACGAGCUUUUUAUAGCACGCAUUGAAGUGGUCGACUGAACUGGUCUUAACCAUCAAAUUUCUAA